rnacentral:lncRNA from 1 species
AAAUGGUACACUGGUCUUUUAUUUCUGGGUUUGCUCAUAAGCAGCAGUUAAAACUGGAGGGAACGUUGCCAGCAGAGCUACACAAAGAAUGACAUGUUCUGAGUGAAUCUGCAGAAACAUCCCACUAGUGACUGUCCACCAGCAUUGCCUGCAGGGUCCCAAGGAACCCCAUAGGGACAGCAAGCAACUUUCAGCUACAAAUCUUCAAAUCUGAAGUGCUACUACCAGCCUGUCUUCUCAGGUAGAUAAUCACCAAUUUUAAAACAAAUUAUAUUAUUCUCCCACUCCUAAAUUAAUGUACCGAUGUGGUUUAGAUUCUGGGGAGCUGUGCUGUCUGUCACUUGUGUGCAUUAUUGAAGUCUAAACACUGCACUCAAAAUUAUAACACGAUUAAACUUUG